rfam:Pseudomonas sp. TRMO17WK12:I11 isolate Yellow genome assembly, chromosome: 1
GCCUAUGGCGGCUGUGUGUGGGGCACCUCGUGUGCGCCGGUUUGGUCUUCACCGGUCUGUCAACCCAUGCACAGCUGCCACCACU